GACGAACGCUGGCGGCGUGCUUAACACAUGCAAGUCGAACGGAAAGGCCUCUUUCGGGGGGUACUCGAGUGGCGAACGGGUGAGUAACACGUGAGUAACCUGCCCUUGACUUUGGGAUAACUUCAGGAAACUGGGGCUAAUACCGGAUAGGAGCUCCUGCUGCAUGGUGGGGGUUGGAAAGUUUCGGCGGUUGGGGAUGGACUCGCGGCUUAUCAGCUUGUUGGUGGGGUAGUGGCUUACCAAGGCUUUGACGGGUAGCCGGCCUGAGAGGGUGACCGGCCACAUUGGGACUGAGAUACGGCCCAGACUCCUACGGGAGGCAUCAGUGGGGAAUAUUGCACAAUGGGUGGAAGCCUGAUGCAGCAACGCCGUGUGCGGGAUGACGGCCUUCGGGUUGUAAACCGCUUUCGCCUGUGACGAAGCGUGAGUGACGGUAAUGGGUAAAGAAGCACCGGCUAACUACGUG
rnacentral:rRNA from 1 species